rfam:Triticum aestivum genome assembly, contig: Triticum_aestivum_CS42_TGACv1_scaffold_272354_3DS
CAUCUACUCCCUCCGAUUCAUAUUACUUGUCUUAGAUUUGUCCAGAUAUGGAUGUAUCUAAAAAGUGUCUGGAUACAUCCGUAUCUAGACAAAUCUAAGACAAGUAAUAUGGAUCGGAGGGAGUAAUAG